UCCAAACAUUUUCACAAGUUUGGAAUCUCUGAAAAUUUGAAUUUUAAAUUCCAAAAGCCAAAUCUGAAAUUUAGAGUUAGAAAGUCCUUUUAGAUCCUAAAUCUUCAGAAAAAUCCCAAAAAAAUACUAUUUUAUUAGAGUUUUUCCCUCAGAUUAGUUCCAAUUUCCAGCUAUCAGUUUGAACUUCUAGCUUAAAUAAGAUGAAAAUGACCUGAAAUACAUGUGUGUGAGGUUUAAAACUUCAGAGGUUUACUAGAUUCGAUUUCGAGUGUGUUUGGAGUUCAAUCGUGGCUAUUUUGGUUUGUUACUGGUUUUACUUUCCUGAAACCAUGUCCUGAGUUAUUUGAUAUCAGUUCCUGGGUUUUAGAAGUGAUUUGUUGCUACUAUUUGAACUGGUGCUGACCUUAUUCUUCUCUUUGUGUCAUUACACAUUCCAGGUACACAUUUGAACUU
rnacentral:lncRNA from 1 species